AAUAGAUACCCGGGUAGUCCACGCCGUAAACGAUGAGUGCUAAGUGUUAGAGGGUUUCCGCCCUUUAGUGCUGCAGCUAACGCAUUAAGCACUCCGCCUGGGGAGUACGGCCGCAAGGCUGAAACUCAAAGGAAUUGACGGGGGCCCGCACAAGCGGUGGAGCAUGUGGUUUAAUUCGAAGCAACGCGAAGAACCUUACCAGGUCUUGACAUCCUCUGCCACUCCUAGAGAUAGGACGUUCCCCUUCGGGGGACAGAGUGACAGGUGGUGCAUGGUUGUCGUCAGCUCGUGUCGUGAGAUGUUGGGUUAAGUCCCGCAACGAGCGCAACCCUUGUUCUUAGUUGCCAGCAUUCAGUUGGGCACUCUAAGGAGACUGCCGGUGACAAACCGGAGGAAGGUGGGGAUGACGUCAAAUCAUCAUGCCCCUUAUGACCUGGGCUACACACGUGCUACAAUGGAUGGUACAAAGGGCUGCGAAACCGCGAGGUUAAGCCAAUCCCAUAAAACCAUUCUCAGUUCGGAUUGUAGGCUGCAACUCCG
rnacentral:rRNA from 1 species